rnacentral:tRNA from 1 species
UUCUCUGUAGCUCAUACAGUAAAGAAUCUGCCUGAAAUGCGGGAGACCCAGGUUUGAUCCCUGGGUAGAGAAG